GAUGAACGCUAGCUACAGGCUUAACACAUGCAAGUCGAGGGGUAACGAGAGGAAAGCUUGCUUUCCUUGUUGACGACCGGCGCACGGGUGAGUAACGCGUAUCCAACCUGCCCCCAACUAGGGAAUAACCUUGCGAAAGUAAGACUAAUACCCUAUAAUUUCCACAGAUGUCAUCUGACGAGGAAUAAAGAUUUAUCGGUUGUGGAUGGGGAUGCGUCUGAUUAGCUUGUUGGCGGGGUAACGGCCCACCAAGGCAACGAUCAGUAGGGGUUCUGAGAGGAAGGUCCCCCACAUUGGAACUGAGACACGGUCCAAACCCCUACGGGAGGCAGCAGAGGGGAAUUUUGCGCAAUGGGCGAAAGCCUGACGCAGCAACGCCGCGUGGAGGAUGAAGGUCUUCGGAUUGUAAACUCCUGUCAGUGGGGAAAAAGGGGAACGUGCUCAUACCACGUUUCAUUGAUUGUACCCGCAGAGGGAGCCCCGGCUAACUCUGUGCCAGCCGCCGCCGUAAAAC
rnacentral:rRNA from 1 species